rnacentral:rRNA from 1 species
UAAGACUCUCGGCAAUGGAUAUCUUGGCUCUUGCAUCGAUGAAGAGCGCAGCGAAAUGCGAUACGUGGUGCGAAUUGCAGAAUCCCGUGAACCAUCGAGUUUUUGAACGCAAGUUGCGCCUGAGGCCAUCUGGUUGAGGGCACGUCCGCCUGGGCGUCAUGC